rfam:Oryza sativa Japonica Group DNA, chromosome 9, cultivar: Nipponbare, complete sequence.
CAUGUGUAUAAUAAUGAGUUUUUUUUUGCCCAAUUUUGAUCAUCUGUCUUAUUUAAAAUUUUUUUAUAAUUAGUAAUUUUGUUAUUAUGAGAUGAUAAAAUAGGAAUAAUACUUUACUCGUAACUUAUGUUUUUAAUUUUUUUUUUCAAAAGUUUUUUUUAAAUAAGACGAACGAUUAAAAUUGGACGCAGAAAAUUAUACUUACACUUAAA